CUAAAUAAAAUAAGGCAGAGGAAGAUACCAGACAUAGUACUCUGGCUUCCACAUGUAUGUGCACAUGUACACAAACACACAACGUGCACACACGCACGCACUCACACACACUCAAAGAGUUAAUAAAGCAGCAGUUGUACCGUCAGAGCCUCGGGUCAAAGAUUGGCACCCAAUGAAGGCUAGAGCCAAAUAUUUAAAACAAAAGAAACUAUCCCUUUCUGUCUUCAAUAAUGAAAAAAAAAAAGUAAGUUUUACUUAGCACUGAGUUCCAUUUUCUUUUUCUUUUUUCUUUCUUUUUUUUUUUUUUUGAUAAUUAUUCAGUGUAAGCCCCGUCAAAGCAUCGUACUGAGAAAAGACUCGUAUUUUAAAGCUCGUGGAGAGUGGAGAGGAGUGGAUAGCAGAGGCUGUCUCCUUGCCUUGUCAUUUUUAUUUAGAUUGACGUACCUUUGAUUAGAAUUAGGGAUAAGCAUUCAGCAGUUAAGACUCCAUAAUCCCAUCAUUAGCGGUCCGGAGGGGUUCGCCGGGCGAAGCUUCAUGCGGCUCUUUCUUUCCGGCUUCUUAACCGCUUGGGCAGCCCGAGGAUGCAGAGUGUGAGCUAAGGAAAGAUCUGCCACUGAGAUCAUCUAAGCUGACACACGAGUGAGGACGCAGGUGACGCUCAGUGACAGUGUUGGCCCCGUUCUUGGGAGGCCCCGUGUCUUCUCGCCUGCCUCUCUUGGUGUACCAGGAGUAUUACACUGUCUCGGACAGUACCAGUCAACAGCCAUUUUGCACAAAGAGAUACAGAAGGUCCUAAGUCAUUUUUCCAGGGUAGCUCAGGGAGAACUUAAUGACAAUUGGUCUAGAAUAAGAAGCACUUAGGAAAUUACCGAUGCCUACCUCUGAGUGGGUCUUUGACACGUGCAACCAUGAGGCCAAAUCUCUUAAUGAGUUCUGUGAUGGUUAAUAUAUGCUCGGGUCAGGGAGUGGCACUAUUAGGAGGUGUGGCCCUGUUGAAGUGGGUGUGGCCUUUGUUGGGGUGGGUGUGGUCUUGUUGGAGUAGGUGUGGCCUUGGUAGAGUGGGUGUGGCCUUGUUGGAGUGGGUGUGGCCUUGUUGGAGUGGGUGUGGCGCUGUGAGCAUGGGCUUUAAUACUCUAGUCCUAGCUUCCUGGAAGCCAGUCUUCUCUUAGAGGCCUGCAGAUGAAGAUGUAGAACCCUCAGCUCUGCCUGUACCAUCCCAUGCUGCCAUGUUCCUGCCUUGAUGAUAAUGGACCGAACCUCUGAACCUAAUCUUCUCUGCCGUGAUGGAUUGAAACCCUCAGGACACCGAGCAGAACUCUUUCUUCUGUUAAGCUGUUUUGAUCGGGAGUUUGGUCACAGCUAGAGAAAGCUAACAAGGGCCCCCAUAAAACAGGAGAAAGGGGACGGAUUAAGCAACACGCACUGCUUGCCCACCGCACAGUCUGUUGAGACCGGUGACAGGAGAGAGAGGCCCCGAGGAACAUGUUUGCUCUGGUGCUGAUUAGAAAAGUCUCCAGCCUCAAGCUGUGGGCCGCUGCCCGCCUGGCUCGUGUCCUGAUAUGUCCAUCGCACAUUUGACAGACCUCGGAGAUUUAUGUCAAGCCGAGCUUUAAAAUAAGCUCAGAAGUUGGGAUUUCUUUCCAGUAUUGUGAUUGCAGCUAGAACGUCAUUCAUAUUCCUAUGUCCCAAGGAAUAUAGGGUUUGUGUUCCUCAAGAGUGAGCUAAAAGUGCCCUUAACAACGCAGCUUGGGUCUUCCAGGUGCAGAUCCUGCGGAAGCCAGGAAAAGCAAGCCCUGUGCCUUAGAGUAAAGCUUUGAAGUCAAGAAAAUAUAUAUUUGUAUUGAAUACUGAA